GGCUCAACCUGACUAUUCCCUGUGUUUUUGUUUUUUAUAUUUCUGUUGUAAAUUAUUGUCUUUUAUUGUGAUAGUAAUGUGUUUUUAUUACAAGUACAGCACUUUGGCUCGACCAAAGUCUUGAACCAGCAUGACCAGCAUGACCAGCCUGGCCAGCUUGUCCAGCCUGGUAAACCAACUAAACCAGCCUAACACCAGCUAAAACCAGCCAAGCAACCCGGGAAACUGGCUAUGGACGUUUGUUCACUUUCUUCUAGCUCUUAUUAUUAUUUAUAACAUCUGUUUUUGUGUUUAAUCCAUAGAGCUGAGUAUGAGCAUUUCCCCUCCUGGAUUGAGCCAGGAGGAUCUAUUACUCUGUCAAAGCUCCUCUCCCUCUGGGGGAACCUUGUCUGCUUUCAGUGUAGGGACUGCAUGGUGUGACACUUUAAAAGGGUGAGUAAACUAACUCACUGUAAUAAUUUUGUAGAAGUUGUGCUUUGAGUAGUGCGUGCUUUUGUUCUCUUUUUGUCCCUCACAGUUAGCAGGCAUUGUGACCUAGUGGACCAGACCUGCCCAUCUGAGGAGGGAAAACCCACCAUGUAAUAGUGUAAAGUAUGUUUACCCGUUGACUGCUGCUGAACAUUGACAUUUUAACAUGUAUAUUUGUGAAAUAAAGCUGCAUUCUAUUUGGUAA